GAUCAUGGCUCAGGAUGAACGCUAGCUACAGGCUUAACACAUGCAAGUGAGGGGCAGCAUUUUAGUUUGCUUGCAAACUAAAGAUGGCGACCGGCGCACGGGUGAGUAACACGUAUCCAACCUGCCGAUAACUCGGGGAUAGCCUUUCGAAAGAAAGAUUAAUAUCCGAUAGUAUAUUAAAACCGCAUGGUUUUACUAUUAAAGGGAAUUUCGGUUAUCGAUGGGGAUGCGUUCCAUUAGUUUGUUGGCGGGGUAACGG
rnacentral:rRNA from 1 species